GGAUAGCUCAGUCAGUAGAGCAUGAAACUCUUAAUAUCAGGGUUGUGGGUUUGAGCUCCACAUUGGGCCA
rnacentral:tRNA from 1 species